UACGAAGGGGACUAGCGUUGUUCGGAAUCACUGGGCGUAAAGCGCACGUAGGCGGGUCUUUAAGUCAGGGGUGAAAUCCUGGAGCUCAACUCCAGAACUGCCUUUGAUACUGAAGAUCUUGAGUCCGGAAGAGGAGAGUGGAAUUCCCGGUGUAGCGGUGAAAUGCGCAGAUAUCGGGAAGAACACCCGUGGCGAAGGCGGCUCUCUGGGACGGUACUGACGCUGAGACGCGAAAGCGUGGGGAGCGAACAGG
rnacentral:rRNA from 1 species